UACAGAGGUCCCAAGCGUUGUUCGGAUUCAUUGGGCGUAAAGGGUGCGCAGGUGGGUUGGCAAGUUUGAUGUGAAAGCCCCGGGCUUAACCCGGGAAUGGCAUUGAAUACUGCUGAUCUGGAGGAUUGGAGGGGGGACUGGAAUUCUUGGUGUAGCAGUGAAAUGCGUAGAUAUCAAGAGGAACACCAGUGGCGAAGGCGAGUCCCUGGACAAUACCUGACACUGAGGCACGAAAGCUAGGGGAGCAAACAGG
rnacentral:rRNA from 1 species